rnacentral:lncRNA from 1 species
CUCAAGGGGAGUUAACAGUGUGAGCACAUAACGGUCAGCACAGCAGGACUCAAGCAGAAAGCAGGGGAGUUGGAGGAAACCUCGUUCCAGCACAGAUGGUCCUGACUGACAACCCCAGCCAGCCUUGGGAGCAAUAGUUGAGAUAAAUCUAAAAUUAUAGGGUCUUCCCACAAAGGUGAGAAAAGGUGAUAUUUGAAGAAGAAAAGAUCCUGGAAAGGCAUGGAAAGAGCCUGACUACACUUAAUGGAGAUGCUCCACAGAUGCAAGUUUUUCGCCACAAAAUACAGCUUUGCAAGGUCACUUCUGUUUGCUCACUUUGUGGCAGCCAUUUUUAUUUCUUUAAAUAUAAAAAAUAUAUUUUGAGGUAAAAUAUUUUUAUUUCCUUCAGAGUUAUUAGUGGAAUUGUGUCCUCAAAAAAAAAAAAAAAAAAAGGCCAAGUGCAGUGGCUGUCACCUGUAAUCCUAGCACUUUGGGAGGACCAAGGCAGGUGGAUCACCUGAGGUCAAGAGUUCAAGACCAGCCUGGCCAGCAUGGCAAAACCUCGUCUCUACUAAAAAUACAAAAAAAAAAAAAAAAAAAAGCCAGGUGUGGUGGCAUGUGCCUGUAAACCCAGCUACUCAGGAGGCUGAGGCAUGAGAAUCAUUUGAACUUGGGAGGCAGAGAUUGCAGUGAGCCGAGAUUGUGCCACUGCAUUCCAGCCUGGGAGACAGGGUGAGACUCCAUCUCAAAAAAAUAAAAAAUAAAAAAGAUAUGUCGAAGUCCUAACUCCUAGUACCUCAGAACUGAAAAUAGAGUUUUUACAGAGGUAAUCAGAUUAAGAUGAGGUCUUUAGUGGGCCUCUAGUCCAAUAUGACUGCUAUCUUUAUUGAAAGGGGGAAAUUUAAACAUAGAGAUAGACACAUACAGAGGGAAGACACACAGGGAGGAUGCCGUGUGAAGAUGGAACACUAGACGGACACAUGUACAAGUCAAAGAAUGCCAGAAAUUGCCAGCAAACCACCAAAGUUGGAAGAAGCCAAGAAGCAUUCCCCUGCAGGUUUCAGAGGGACCGUGACCCUGCGACACCUUGGCCUCAGAGUUUUCAGCCUUCAUAACUGUGAGACGAUACAUCUCUGGUGUUCUAAGCCACACAAUGUGUGGUACUUUGUUUUGACAGCCCUAGGAAACUACUACAGAAUGUGUCUGAGACCUUGGACCAACCAUCCCUGGUCUGGACAUCAGCCUGCCAACACCUACACAGAGUCAACUUGGGCGGGUCACACAUGCAGCAGAGGCAGCCGGACACCAUGCUCCUGUAUGGGUGGCCCACGUCCACAGCUGACCACCUCCAGCUGUUACAGUAGAUAGCUAGCUAGUCAGGCAUGAGUGGGGCAGGAGGAGACUCCCCCCAACCCACUAGGAAUGUCAGGCAACCAUCAGGUAAUGGUCCAGCAGUUGUCACAUUGCCUCUCUAAAAUGAUCAUAGGUUAAAGCUGGUGCCAGGGAGAGGUAGUUUCCCAGUAGAUACAAGUACCUGAAAUUGGUAAUCGGCAGGCUCCAAUAAGAUCUCAGGAAUUGGGCAAGUGGGCUUAUGCAUGCAGAUUAAGAGGAAAAAUGGCAGAGUAUGACCUUCCAGGGGCAUUCCACCAGAAAAUGGAAGAAAGCCUCGAGUGAGCAUGCACACAACUCCAGUAAACACAGUGCACAUGCUCACCUUCCAAGCGCAAGCAGGGCACUGUGCAUGCAGGCGGCUCACCCUAAGGGAAGAAUGAAGGGAAAGGGGCACAAGACAUGGAAGUAGGCCAGCAUAUGAACUUUUAAAUCACACCCUGCACUGGACCUCCAAGAUGUCAGCUUAGGUCUCUUUCAAAUAUACUUUCCUUUCUUUCCUGUUCUAAGGCUUUUUAAUAAACUUCCACUCCUGCUCUGAAACUUGCCUCAGUCUCCUUUUCAGCCUUAUGCCUCUCGGUCAAAUUCUUUUCUUCUGGGGGGCAAGAACUGAGGUUCCUGCUGACUCAUAUGGGUUUGCCACCAGUAACUCAGAUACCUUCUACCACUAACAUAUUUUGGUGCCUUGUGACUCGGAUCCCCUCUGCCAGUAACACAGUCUUGUUGCCCACCUGACAAACCCAGACCUCUUCAGUCAGUCAACAGCAUAUGGAGACUUUGCUUUCUAAUAUGGGACAGAAAUCAUUCCUGAUCUUUGGGCUUUGCUGCGGUUUGAAUGUCUCCUCCAAAACUCAUGGUGAAAUUUGAUUGCCAUUGUGAUGGUAUUAAGAGGUGGGACCUUUAAGAGUUAGUUAGAUCAUGAGAGCUCUGCCUUCCUGAAUGAAUUAAUGCUGUUAUUGUGGGAAUGACUUAGUUAUUGUGAGAGUGGGCUCCUGAUUUAAAAGAUGAGUUUGGCCCCCUCCCUCUCUGUCUGUCUUGGAUGCUCCCUGGGCCUUCUUCUGCCUUGUGCCAUGGGAUGAUGCACCAAGAAGGCUCUUACCAGAUGCUGGCCCCUCAACCUUGGACUUCCCAGCCUCCAGAACUGUGAGAAGUAAAUUUCCAUUCUUUAUAAAUUAUCCAGUCUCAGGUAUUCUGUUGUAGCAACACAGAACGGACUAAGACAGGCUCUAAAAGAUCUUAUUCAUUUCUCAUCCCUGGGAACCUACUACACCCUGUACUCUACUGGCUUUCCUGCUUGGCAGGAAAAUGUUCCCACUCAGUGCCCAGCUUUGGUGCCUCAGUUUUUAUUUUCUUUUUAACUGACUCCAUUUUGUUCACUGUACUUGGAGCAAAAUAGCUUACUAUAAAAGCAAGAUGAUCCACAGCUCUGAUUUCCACACAAAAUUGAAAAUAAAAUAAAUAGACUGGGAAUAUAAGCUCUACAAGGGUAGGGAUCUUUGUUUUGUUCCCAUUGUUGGAUUUUAAGUACCUAGAGCAAAUAUUUGUUGAUUAUGCAUUGAAUAAAAAUGUGCUGAAUGACUAAUGAUUGAUAAAUGAGAAGACAAGUAUAUAUUCUGAACAGAUCUCAAAAAUUAAUCAGUAAAGCAGGAACUUGAGCUAUUCAAAAUGAACUGGUAGUAUUUCAGAACAUAGGCAAUGCCAUUUUUUAAAAAGAUAUGAUGUGGUUUAAAAUAAAGUUUUCUUGCAUAUUCCUCUGAAUUUAUUGCUUCCCCUGCAACACUUUUAAGUGGUAGAUGUUUUUUCCCAAUAGCCAUCACACCACUUGACCUAGUAGGUCCCCUACUUAUUUAUUGACUAUAACUCCUAGUGCACCAUCACUCUGUACAACAUAAGCCCCUGUUAAUUUCUGUAGAUUUACAUAAAGAUGAUUCUUCCAUCACCCUAGACUCUCAGUUCCUUGAAUUCUUCUCCUUUAAAAGCCCUCUUCCAUUUUACCUUACUUCUAUUUCCAAGAUGCACUUAUUACCAAUAAUCAAAACUCCUUCUCAUCUCAUUUCCAGGUAUCCUACACUGACCACCACCUUUAAUCUUUCCUAUAUGCUCCCUUCAGUCCUUCAAUUCCAACCAUCCUUCGAGUCUAGCAGAACUUUAAAGAUAUUGAUCCUAUCACUCACCCACUUGCUAUCCUAUUUCCUCAUCUUCCUCUGCAAGAAUUCCAUGGUUAAUCAUUAUAAUCACUCCCUUGGUACAUCCUCAACUCUCUCCCCGUCUCCAUUUGUCAUGCUGGCUCAGCAAAGAAACAAUCCUGGUUAAAUGAAAAUCUCUGUUUCCUCCGUGCCUGCUCUCAUGUGGUUGAAUGUGGCUGGAAAAAAACCAAAAAACCAAAAAAACACACAAUCUUGCUGGCUGGUCUCACCUUAAACUCAUGACCACAGUCUCAAAUGGGCUUUUAGUGCCUCUGGGCAAUCUUACUAUACUUUCCUAACCCAUUUGACCUUGUGCUUUUCUGGAUGAAAAUUUCAAGCUUCUCUUUUUCCAGACGUCUAGCACCUUCUCCCCGAUCCUCUCAGCUAACCAUCUUGACUCCUAUUUCACCAAGGAAAUAGAAGCACCAGAAGACUUCUACCCACUGCUACCACCACACCUACCCACCUGCAAGCACCUGUACCUGCAGCAUCUGUGGUUUCUCUCUUCCUGCACGUGAACCAUUCAUGCUGCUAUCUAAAGUCAGUUCCUCCACUUACACCUUCAUCCCAUCCUCUCUUACCUACUCAAGGGCAUCACUCCAUCAAUCUCUCUCCUGCAUCAAAAAUUUCCUCUUUCUGCCAUUUCUCCCAUCUGAAGGCAUGGGGAGGGUGAA